AGACCAAAUUACUCCCUUUACUAAUUAGAAUGAGCUUAGAAUCAAGAAAAACUCAAUAAAUGAGUCUGUAGAGAGUCAAAAGCUAUUUUUAGCGAUAUUAUGCUUGUUUUGCAUUGUUUUGUAGCAUUUUUGAGAAAGUGAAGAAUGAAGUUGAAGAUAAAUGUCGUAGACUCAAGAAAAGAGAAGAAAAUUGAUGAUUUGAAGAGUCGAUGCACCGCCCGACGGCAACUUACACCGCCGGGCGGUCCAGGGCGAGGAGUAGGCACCUGGCGUUGGCGUUGGGUGGUUGUGAGGGAAACCGCCGGGAGGUAGACCCUACCGCUAGGCGGUAGUGCGAUUUGUGGGAAACCGCCGGGCGCCACACUUGUUCCGUCGGGCGGUUGUCUGCGGAUCUUGGGCCUAUUUUCUGUUGCGCUCCUUACCUAUAAAUAGCCCUAUUGCGAAGUUAGAUGCAUUCUUUUGACAGAAGGAGGUGGCCAGACCUAAUUUCACUCUCUGGAGAGGAUCUCUUGGAUGCUUAGGCUCCAUUUCUUCUUAUCUAGGGUUUGCUUUUCCAUUCUUCAUCCAUUUUUCAUCUAGAUUCACCAUGACAAUGGUGAACUAAACCCUAUUAUUGUUGGGGGAAACAAUGUAAUCUUUUGAUACUCUCUUUUAUUGAAACUCUUGUUUAUUUAUAUGGUUUCCAUAUGCUUUGAUUAUUAAUUGUUGGGUUCUCAUUUGUGCUUAAUGCGUUUAUCGUUUAACUUAUUCGAUAACUGUUGUUUGUCUUUAUUGAUACGGGGACAUACAGUAAUGUCAUGAACUGGUGAGUAAUUCCUUGAUUAAGCAAUACCACCNAGGGAUAGGGGUAGGACGAUCAAUUGUUUUUCACUUCUGCUCUAUAAUGUUUUACUAAUUGUUAGGGGAGGCUAGGUGAUACGCGGGGCCCAAACCCAAUGUCUUUAGUGUAGUCUUUCUUUUAUGUACUAUGUAAAUGUGUUAGGUAUGUGGGACUUCUAGUACUAUAAAUAGCCAUGCCUACACUUCUUGUACUUACUUUUGAGAUUAAUGAGAAUUAGAUUUCUGAAACCCAGAAUUAAUUCUGUCUUGAAAGUCAUUGGCUAGAGAGUCCAAAGACCUCUAGCCUCCUUCCAAAGCACACAACUUCAUUUUCACCGUGCUACACCAUAUAUUCUCUCUACUCCACACACAUCCAAUCUUCCAUAGCCACAUCACGCACAUGCGUCAGUGCUUGAUUCGCGUCACCACCACAUCCUCUUCAACUCUCGCAGACACAUCACUUCGCCAUUUCAUUUCUCACAUUACUCCAUCUGCUAGGGUUUUCAUCCCAAGCUUAUCCUCCUCACAGAUCCACAUCGCGUCCAACACGGUAAGCCUCGUUUCUCCUCCCUUUCAUCAUUUCCUUACCUAUUUCUCUCAUCUUUUCUGAUUAAAAGCCUCCUAUCACCAUUUUUACCGAUUGAUUCCUUGGUCCCAAGCUUAUCCUCCUCACAGAUCCACAUCGCGUCCAACACGGUAAGCCUCGUUUCUCCUCCGUUUCAUCAUUUCCUUACCUAUUUCUCUCAUCUUUUCUGAUUAAAAGCCUCCUAUCACCAUUUUUACCGAUUGAUUCCUUGUCUAACACCAUUUUCACCGUUUAAACACCUCUUUCCACUGAUCCAAAUCAUUUCCACCGUUUAAUAUCCAUUUUACACCGAUUAAUCGGUCCAAUCGGUGUUUCUCCAUUCGAUUUAGGGUUUUCCCCGUCAUUUAGGGUUUCCGUGAUUUCUAUCUCACAUUCGGUCCUAUUAAGUUCUCGAUCGCUUCCCCCUUCGAAUAUAUUCCAUUCCGUUGCGUCAUUCAUCGUCGGAGAAGCUUCGAAGAGUCCGCAUCACCUCUCGGUUAACCUUCUUCGAAGCUCUCUUGCAUCAAGUGGUAAUCAGAGCAUAGGUUCUCUUCCUCGGGUUAGGCACGCUUCAAAGCUAAGUAUCUCGAUAUUUGUUUUUUUUGCUUUCUCU
rnacentral:lncRNA from 1 species